AGUGAACGCUGGCGGUAGGCCUAACACAUGCAAGUCGAACGGCAGCACAGUAAGAGCUUGCUCUUACGGGUGGCGAGUGGCGGACGGGUGAGGAAUACAUCGGAAUCUACUUUUUCGUGGGGGAUAACGCAGGGAAACUUACGCUAAUACCGCAUACGACCUACGGGUGAAAGCAGGGGAUCUUCGGACCUUGCGCGAUUGAAUGAGCCGAUGUCGGAUUAGCUAGUUGGCGGGGUAAAGGCCCACCAAGGCGACGAUCCGUAGCUGGUCUGAGAGGAUGAUCAGCCACACUGGAACUGAGACACGGUCCAGACUCCUACGGGAGGCAGCAGUGGGGAAUAUUGGACAAUGGGCGCAAGCCUGAUCCAGCCAUACCGCGUGGGUGAAGAAGGCCUUCGGGUUGUAAAGCCCUUUUGUUGGGAAAGAAAAGCAGCAGGUUAAUACCCCGCUGUUCUGACGGUACCCAAAGAAUAAGCACCGGCUAACUUCAUG
rnacentral:rRNA from 1 species